rnacentral:rRNA from 1 species
AAUUCGCCCUUAGAGUUUGAUCCUGGCUCAGAAUGAACGCUGGCGGCGUGCUUAACACAUGCAAGUCGAACGAUGAAGCCUUAGCUUGCUAAGGUGGAUUAGUGGCGCACGGGUGAGUAAUAUAUAGAUAACGUGCCUCCGAGACCGGGAUAGCCAUUGGAAACGAUGAUUAAUACUGGAUACUCCUUCUCAUUCAAAUAUGAGUCGGGAAAGUUUUUCGCUCGGAGAUCGGUCUAUAUCCCAUCAGUUAGUUGGUAAGGUAACGGCUUACCAAGACAAUGACGGGUAGCGGGUUUGAGAGGAUGAUCCGCCACACUGGUACUGAGACACGGACCAGACUCCUACGGGAGGCAGCAGUGAGGAAUAUUGCACAAUGGGGGAAACCCUGAUGCAGCAACGCCGCGUGGAGGAUGACGCAUUUCGGUGUGUAAACUCCUUUUAUAGGUCAAGAAAAUGACGGUAGCCUAG